GCUGGCUCUGGCAUGUACAGGCAGAUCGAUAGAUGUACGUGGGCGGCCAGGCAGGGGCAGCCAUCAGUGUGGUCGCUGGUCUCUGCUUCCCUUGGCAUUGCCAUGCCCCUCAUUCCCAGUGAAACGAAAUCACCCACGUCCGCGGCAGCCCUGGACGACGAACUGCAUCGUCUGCAUCAUGAGAGUCCCCCCGCUUUUGCUGCAUGGGGAAUGGAUUGUGGGCGGCGAACACGGCGAGUGGACGGCCUCAUUCCGGCGUCCUCCGCGUGUUCCCUCCCUCGGCACGAAUCAUUGCCCUUCUUUCUUUCUUUCUUUCGUUC
rnacentral:misc_RNA from 1 species